rnacentral:rRNA from 1 species
CUACUAAUUGCCCGAAACUUUCUUACCUCCCCGCACCUCAGCCGUGUCGUUAGGUUAUGAAUAAAUAGCUUUUUUGAACAGUUUACGUCCCUUUACAUUCUUUACUUGCUUGUGCGAUACUUUCAACCCCUAAUCAGGUGGUUAUUGCGGCGGUGUCCCACCUCUUCCCAUUCCGAACAGAGAAGUUAAGCCCGCUUGCGCCGAUGGUACUGCAAUGCAAUGCGGGAGAGUAGGUGGCCGCCUUUU